CCGACCUGCAUUUUUCAAGGAAACGUUUACAAAUAAUUUCUAAUACUACAGGGAUAAGCCAUCAAUGCACUAAAUAUUAAUAAAACUCUGCACAUACAAUGAAUUUUCCAAUGAAGAGAAAUUUUAAUGGGUGUGCUAAUGUACCAAAGAUAACUGAAAUACUGUACUGUAUAGGUAAAAUUAAUUACCAAAUCAUAUGAAUUUUCUAAAUCAAUUAAUGGUGUUCAAUGGACCUCUUCUUCUAUUCUAGUAUUUUCUUAAUUUAUUAAUAUAACAAUCAGUUCAUUUUUAAGUGACUGACAUUUGGUUUCAUUCACAGAUGCAGUAAUAAGAUGGUAAUCAAACACCCACUUCAUACUUAAUGGAUUUGUAUUUGCCAGCCUUCUACCAUAUCGAUGCAUUUGGUGCAAGUUACAAGCAAACAGUGAUAACAUACAUAAUCAAUUCAUAGUCAAGUUCAGAUAGUGAUGAAUGUCCGAAGACGUCAAGAAGGGAGGUGGAUGGAGGAUGGCUUCCCAAGAUAAACAAACCUCUCCUUCCAGUAUCUCUUUAGACAACUUCAUGCCAGAAACUAUCUUUUAGUUCAAGCUUCAAGUAUGUAGUUUGUCGUAGAUUUUAAUCUCCAUAUCAAGUUAAUAUUAAAUAAAGACAAUAUCAGUGUGGAAAACUAAUAUAUGUACAUUAUUUAUAUAUUAGGGUACACCAUAAAGAUAUCUAUGACAAAUUGAACUGCUGUAAUUGCAAUGUGUUACGCCCUUCGUGCUCUUAAAUAUUAGCCUUAUAAAGUCUCUUAUUUUGUAUAGCAUCCAUUAAUUAUCUUACUACAAAAUGUACUAAAAAAACCAGGUUAUAUUUUCUAAACAAAAACAAUAAACAAAAGCACCAGAUC